rnacentral:rRNA from 1 species
GAUGAACGCUGGCGGCGUGCCUAAUACAUGCAAGUCGAGCGAACAGACGAGGAGCUUGCUCCUCUGACGUUAGCGGCGGACGGGUGAGUAACACGUGGAUAACCUACCUAUAAGACUGGGAUAACUUCGGGAAACCGGAGCUAAUACCGGAGAAUAUAUUGAACCGCAUGGUUCAAUAGUGAAAGUCGGUUUUGCUGUCACUUCUAGAUGGAUCCGCGCCGCAUUAGCUAGUUGGUAAGGUCACGGCUUACCAAGGCGACGAUGCGUAGCCGACCUGAGAGGGUGAUAGGCCACACGGGAACGGAGACACGGUCCAGACGCCUACGGGAGGCAGCAGUAGGGAAUCUUCCGCAAUGGGCGAAAGCCUGACGGAGCAACGCCGCGUGAGUGAUGAAGGUCUUCGGAUCGUAAAACUCUGUUAUUAGGGAAAAACAAAUGUGUAAGUAACUAUGCACGUCUUGACGGUACCUAAUCAGAAAGCCACGGCUAACUACGUG